GACGAACCGUGCGAACGUUGUUCGGAAUCACUGGGCUUAAAGGGCGCGUAGGCGGCUUGCCAAGUCGGGGGUGAAAUCCGGCAGCUUAACUGUCGAAGUGCCUUCGAUACUGGCAAGCUCGAGGGAGGUAGGGGCCUGUGGAACUUCUGGUGGAGCGGUGAAAUGCGUUGAUAUCGGGAAGAACACCCGUGGCGAAGGCGGUUCUCUGGGACGGUACUGACGCUGAGACGCGAAAGCGUGGGGAGCGAACAGG
rnacentral:rRNA from 1 species